rnacentral:rRNA from 1 species
AGAGUUUGAUCCUGGCUCAGGAUGAACGCUGGCGGCGUGCUUAACACACGCAAGUCGAACGGUGAACCAGGAGCUUGCUCUUGGGGAUCAGUGGCGAACGGUGAGUAACACGUGAGCAACCUGCCCCGGACUCUGGGAUAAGCGCUGGAAACGGCGUCUAAUACUGGAUACGAGCUGCGACCGCAUGGUCAGCAGCUGGAAAGAUUUUUCGGUCUGGGAUGGGCUCGCGGCCUAUCAGCUUGUUGGUGAGGUAAUGGCUCACCAAGGCGUCGACGGGUAGCCGGCCUGAGAGGGUGACCGGCCACACUGGGACUGAGACACGGCCCAGACUCCUACGGGAGGCAGCAGUGGGGAAUAUUGCACAAUGGGCGAAAGCCUGAUGCAGCAACGCCGCGUGAGGGACGACGGCCUUCGGGUUGUAAACCUCUUUUAGCAGGGAAGAAGCGAAAGUGACGGUACCUGCAGAAAAAGCGCCGGCUAACUACGUGCCAGCAGCCGCGGUAAUACGUAGGGCGCAAGCGUUAUCCGGAAUUAUUGGGCGUAAAGAGCUCGUAGGCGGUUUGUCGCGUCUGCUGUGAAAUCACGAGGCUCAACCUCGGGCCUGCAGUGGGUACGGGCAGACUAGAGUGCGGUAGGGGAGAUUGGAAUUCCUGGUGUAGCGGUGGAAUGCGCAGAUAUCAGGAGGAACACCGAUGGCGAAGGCAGAUCUCUGGGCCGUAACUGACGCUGAGGAGCGAAAGGGUGGGGAGCAAACAGGCUUAGAUACCCUGGUAGUCCACCCCGUAAACGUUGGGAACUAGUUGUGGGGUCCAUUCCACGGAUUCCGUGACGCAGCUAACGCAUUAAGUUCCCCGCCUGGGGAGUACGGCCGCAAGGCUAAAACUCAAAGGAAUUGACGGGGACCCGCACAAGCGGCGGAGCAUGCGGAUUAAUUCGAUGCAACGCGAAGAACCUUACCAAGGCUUGACAUACACGAGAACGCUGCAGAAAUGUAGAACUCUUUGGACACUUGUGAACAGGUGGUGCAUGGUUGUCGUCAGCUCGUGUCGUGAGAUGUUGGGUUAAGUCCCGCAACGAGCGCAACCCUCGUUCUAUGUUGCCAGCACGUAAUGGUGGGAACUCAUGGGAUACUGCCGGGGUCAACUCGGAGGAAGGUGGGGAUGACGUCAAAUCAUCAUGCCCCUUAUGUCUUGGGCUUCACGCAUGCUACAAUGGCCGGUACAAAGGGCUGCAAUACCGUGAGGUGGAGCGAAUCCCAAAAAGCCGGUCCCAGUUCGGAUUGAGGUCUGCAACUCGACCUCAUGAAGUCGGAGUCGCUAGUAAUCGCAGAUCAGCAACGCUGCGGUGAAUACGUUCCCGGGUCUUGUACACACCGCCCGUCAAGUCAUGAAAGUCGGUAACACCUGAAGCCGGUGGCCCAACCCUUGUGGAGGGAGCCGUCGAAGGUGGGAUCGGUAAUUAGGACUAAGUCGUAACAAGGUAACC